GCAUUGUUGAUGAGUCUCACAAUAGGACGAAACAGCCGUCUAAUGC
rnacentral:hammerhead_ribozyme from 1 species